UGGGUUUGCAAUUUGAGUUGU
rnacentral:piRNA from 1 species